GCCCUGCGCGGUGGCGCGCGCCUGUAGUCCCAGCUACUCGGGAGGCUGAGGUGGGAGGAUCGCUUGAGUCCAGGAGUUCUGGGCUGCAGUGCGCUAUGCCGAUGUGUCCGCACUAAGUUCGGCAUUAAUAUAGUGACCUCCCGGGAGCGAGGGAUCACCAGGUUGCCUAAGGAGGGGUGAACCGGCCCAGGUCGGAAACGGAGCAGGUCAAAACUCCCGUGCUGAUCAGUAGUGGGAUCGGGCCUGUGAAUAGCCACUGCACUCCAGCCUGGGCAAUAUAGUGAGACCCUGUCUCU
rnacentral:SRP_RNA from 1 species